UUUCCGCCCUUUAGUGCUGCAGCUAACGCAUUAAGCACUCCGCCUGGGGAGUACGGUCGCAAGACUGAAACUCAAAGGAAUUGACGGGGGCCCGCACAAGCGGUGGAGCAUGUGGUUUAAUUCGAAGCAACGCGAAGAACCUUACCAGGUCUUGACAUCCUCUGACAACUCUAGAGAUAGAGCGUUCCCCUUCGGGGGACAGAGUGACAGGUGGUGCAUGGUUGUCGUCAGCUCGUGUCGUGAGAUGUUGGGUUAAGUCCCGCAACGAGCGCAACCCUUGAUCUUAGUUGCCAGCAUUUAGUUGGGCACUCUAAGGUGACUGCCGGUGACAAACCGGAGGAAGGUGGGGAUGACGUCAAAUCAUCAUGCCCCUUAUGACCUGGGCUACACACGUGCUACAAUGGAUGGUACAAAGGGCUGCAAGACCGCGAGGUCAAGCCAAUCCCAUAAAACCAUUCUCAGUUCGGAUUGUAGGCUGCAACUCGCCUACAUGAAGCUGGAAU
rnacentral:rRNA from 1 species